rnacentral:lncRNA from 1 species
CUUCCCAUGAAGAAAUUAAGAACGGUCAUAGCUGUCCAAGAAGAUAACCAUUUCUCUUGAGGGUAAGGAUUGGUUAAGGACACUCCUUAGAUGUUGCUACAGUGGUGUGAAAAUUCAUCAUCUUAUAGGAAAAGCUAAUUUUAGGAAUUUAAGGAAUUACCCUGCUCACGUUGAGCUGAAGUGAAAGGACCAAUGAGAAGGCAAACCAGAAAACAUAAGGCCGGCACUGGAACUAAGCCAUUUAAGACCAAGUGCUAUUGUCCUCUGCUGCUGCUGCCGCUGCUGCUGGAGCACGGCAAGACUUUGAAACAGUCUCCAUGACAAUCAGAGAGAUGCAGUCUGGAUCCUAAUGGGGGUGACACAUGGCUGUGACUGUAUCCUGCAGAGCAAGGUUCUUUGUAUCACAUUUGAGCCAAGAAGCAUCUGAGCGAAAAGGUAUCCUGAAUACUGAAAUACUGGAUAUUUGUGUGUGUUUUUAAUGGACCAUGUGCAAACAGCCAUACAAAGUUAGUGAAGGAGGUAGCGGUUAUCCUACAGAAGGAAAUGUAGAACAAGAUGUGCAGAUUUGGAGACGAUGUGGAACUGACAACCUGAGAAAUGCCAUCCAUAAAGGAAGGCAAUGACUCAGAAGCCAGAGGGGGUCACUGAGGGAAGAAACCCAGGCCAGAAUAGAUCCCCAGGACACAUUUGCAAAGAGAUAAAAAUAGGAGAAAUGCUUUAGUUUUCACACAAUAAAGAAAGUUGCUAGAUUUGAAGAAUAA